rnacentral:rRNA from 1 species
UACGUAGGGUGCAAGCGUUGUCCGGAAUUAUUGGGCGUAAAGAGCUCGUAGGCGGUUUGUCGCGUCUGCUGUGAAAACUCGGGGCUCAACUCCGAGCUUGCAGUGGGUACGGGCAGACUAGAGUGCGGUAGGGGAGACUGGAAUUCCUGGUGUAGCGGUGGAAUGCGCAGAUAUCAGGAGGAACACCGGUGGCGAAGGCGGUUCUCUGGGCAUGUCCUGACGCUGAGGAGCGAAAGUGUGGGGAGCGAACAGG